rnacentral:rRNA from 1 species
GACGGAGGGUGCUAGCGUUGUUCGGAUUUACUGGGCGUAAAGGGCGCGUAGGCGGCUUGGUAAGUAGGGGGUGAAAUCUCACGGCUCAACUGUGAGGCUGCCUUCUAGACUGCCGAGCUCGAGCACAGUAGAGGCUGGUGGAAUUCCCGGUGUAGCGGUGGAAUGCGUAGAGAUCGGGAAGAACAUCUGUGGCGAAGGCGGCCAGCUGGGCUGUUGCUGGACGCUGAUGCGCGACAGCGUGGGGAGCAAACAGG